CUUGUCCUACGGGGCGCAGCAGUGAGGAAUAUCGGUCAAUGGGCGCGAGCCUGAACCAGCCAAGUCGCGUGAGGGAGGACGGCCCUACGGGUUGUAAACCUCUUUUGCCGGGGAGCAACGGGCGUCACGUGUGGCGCCACUGAGAGUACCCGGAGAAAAAGCAUCGGCUAACUCCGUGCCAGCAGCCGCGGUAAUACGGAGGAUGCGAGCGUUAUCCGGAUUUAUUGGGUUUAAAGGGUGCGUAGGCGGAGCGUUAAGGCAGUGGUCAAAUUGAGGGGCUCAACCCCUUCCCG
rnacentral:rRNA from 1 species